rnacentral:rRNA from 1 species
UGGGGAAUUUUGGACAAUGGGGGCAACCCUGAUCCAGCAACGCCGCGUGAAUGAAGAAGGCCUUAGGGUUGUAAAGUUCUUUUAUUUGGGAGCAAAGGUUGUAUGUGAAUAGCAUAUGAUGAUGAGAGUACCAAAAGAAUAAGCACCGGCUAACUACGUGCCAGCAGCCGCGGUAAUACGUAGGGUGCGAGCGUUAAUCGGAAUUAUUGGGCGUAAAGGGUGCGUAGGCGGAUAUAUAAGUUAGAUGUGAAAAGCCAGGGCUUAACCUUGGUCGUGCAUUUAAGACUGUAUGUCUAGAGUUUGUAAGAGGGGGGUAGAAUUCCAAGUGUAGCAGUGAAAUGCGUAGAGAUUUGGAGGAAUACCGAUGGCGAAGGCAGCCCCCUGGUAUAGAACUGACGCUGAGGCACGAAAGCGUGGGUAGCAAACAGGAUUAGAUACCCCUGUAGUCC